CUCAGGAUAUAGCUCAGUUGGUAAAGUGCUUGCCUCACGUGUGUGAAGCCCAGGUUUGAUCCCCAGCCCUGACA
rnacentral:tRNA from 1 species